CGGCGGACGGGUGAGUAACGCGUGGGUAACCUGCCUCAUACAGGGGGAUAACAGUUGGAAACGGCUGCUAAUACCGCAUAAGCGCACAGUACCGCAUGGUACGGUGUGAAAAACUCCGGUGGUAUGAGAUGGACCCGCGUCUGAUAGGUAGUUGGUGGGGUAACGGCCUACCAAGCCGACGAUCAGUAGCCGACCUGAGAGGGUGACCGGCCACAUUGGGACUGAGCACGGCCCAA
rnacentral:rRNA from 1 species